AGCUCCGUGGUGAAUAGCACAUUGGAUUGCAAAUCCGAAGGCGCAGAUUAAUACUCUGCCGGGGCUU
rnacentral:tRNA from 1 species